rnacentral:lncRNA from 1 species
GCCGCCUGCUCGAGAUCUGCAGUGGCUGCCGGGUGCGGAGCGCCGGCCGGGGGUGGGCUCUCCAGGGCUGCUAGGCCCCUGCCCUCACCUGCGGCCGCCCGGCCCCGCCCUAGGUGUGCCGUCAAUGGAUCAUGAAGAUGGAGGUGGUGGCUCAUGCCUGUUAAUCCCCACACUAUGAGAGGCUGAGGCAGGAGGAUCACUUGGGGCCAGUAGUUUGAGACCAGCCUGGGCAACAUGGCAAGACUCCAUCUCUACAAAAAAAUGCAAAAAGAAAUCAGUGGACCAUGUAUGUACACAUCUAUUUUGGAUUCAUGCCUGUAAGAUACUGAGCGUCGACCAGGCGCAGUGGCUCACAACUGUAAUCCCAGCACUUUGGGAGGCUGAGAUGGGUGGAUCACCUGAGCUCGGGAGUUCGAGACCAGCCUGAACAACAUGGAGAAACCCCAUCUCUACUAAAAAUACAAAAUUAGCUGGGCAUGGUGGCGCAUGCCUGUAAUCCCAGCUACUCGGGAGGCUGAGGCAGGAGAAUCGCUUGAACCUGGGAGGCAGGAAUUGCAGUGAGCUGAGAUUGAGCCAUUGCACUCCAACCUGGACAACAAGAGUGAAACUCCGUCUCAAAAAAAAUAAAAUAAAUAAAAGAUACUGAGCAUCUUUUGAUCUAUAUGUCUUUAUGCCAAUACUACACUGUACUGAUUAUUUUAUAUUGUCUAAAAGAAGCAGUAACAUUAUUAACUUUAUUGUCUUAACCCUUGAAUAUAUGUCUUUGAAAUAUUUUGUGUGACAAAAUGGGAAGUAUGCUUAUCUCAAGGAAAAGCACUUACGCAAUUGAAUUGUGAACUGAAUGCACCAAACACCAGUUUUACUUAAAAGAACAAAUGACAAACUAUAGUUAUCA